CUCCAGAUGUUGCUGAACUACAACUCCCAUGAUUCUCUGGGUAUCUAUGUAAUUCAAAGAAUCAUGGGAGUUGUAGUUCAGCAACAUCUGGAG